rnacentral:rRNA from 1 species
AGACCCGAAACCCGGUGAUCUAGCCAUGGGCAGGUUGAAGGUUGGGUAACACUAACUGGAGGACCGAACCGACUAAUGUUGAAAAAUUAGCGGAUGACCUGUGGCUGGGGGUGAAAGGCCAAUCAAACCGGGAGAUAGCUGGUUCUCCCCGAAAGCUAUUUAGGUAGCGCCUCGUGAAUUCAUCUCCGGGGGUAGAGCACUGUUUCGGCUAGGGGGCCAUCCCGGCUUACCAACCCGAUGCAAACUGCGAAUACCGGAGAAUGUUAUCACGGGAGACACACGGCGGGUGCUAACGUCCGUCGUGAAGAGGGAAACAACCCAGACCGCCAGCUAAGGUCCCAAAGUCAUGGUUAAGUGGGAAACGAUGUGGGAAGGCCCAGACAGCCAGGAUGUUGGCUUAGAAGCAGCCAUCAUUUAAAGAAAGCGUAAUAGCUCACUGGUCGAGUCGGCCUGCGCGGAAGAUGUAACGGGGCUAAACCAUGCACCGAAGCUGCGGCAGCGAACGUAUCACUUAAAGCGAUUCAGCGGAUGACGAUUGACGGAGCGAAGCGACGUCAAAGCGUAUACAAAGUCGAGUCGGUUUAAGGAUACGUUCGUUGGGUAGGGGAGCGUUCUGUAAGCCUGUGAAGGUGGCCUGUGAGGGUUGCUGGAGGUAUCAGAAGUGCGAAUGCUGACAUAAGUAACGAUAAAGCGGGUGAAAAGCCCGCUCGCCGGAAGACCAAGGGUUCCUGUCCAACGUUAAUCGGGGCAGGGUGAGUCGACCCCUAAGGCGAGGCCGAAAGGCGUAGUCGAUGGGAAACGGGUUAAUAUUCCC